GCAGUCUGGGAAUUCAUGGCAAGCCAUAACUCUACAAUGUUAUGGUAACCCAUAACCUUUCAAUGUUUUGAGAUUCCAAUACCUAAUCCUCUUUCAUUUUAGUACGGUGACGUCUUCAUUAUCGCUUUCGUUAUAUUCCGGAUCUCAAACCGUUACCUCACCGAAGUCGGUAUUUUGUUUACAUUGACAUCCGGGUCACUGUGUAAAAAUGGACGAACAACAACCUUCGACAUCGCAUUCAAGGGAAGCAUGGCACAGCAAGAAAAAGAUAUAAGACACAACAAGACAUUCAAAGUGAUUUUGAAUAAGACAAUUGAUUGACUUUUUCAAUGUAUUCUUAAAUAAAUCAAAUAGUUGAUGUAAAA